GACGAACGCUGGCGGCGUGCUUAACACAUGCAAGUCGAGCGGUAAGGCCCUUUCGGGGGUACACGAGCGGCGAACGGGUGAGUAACACGUGGGUGACCUGCCCUCAGCUCUGGGAUAAGCCUGGGAAACCGGGUCUAAAUACUGGAUAUGACUCCAUGACGCAUGUUGUGGGGUGGAAAGCCUUGUGCGGCUGAGGAUGGGCCCGCGGCCUAUCAGCUUGUUGGUGGGGUGANGGCCUACCAAGGCGACGACGGGUAGCCGGCCUGAGAGGGCGACCGGCACACUGGGACUGAGACACGGCCCAGACUCCUACGGGAGGCAGCAGUGGGGAAUCUUGCGCAAAUGGGACGAAAGCCUGACGCAGCGACGCCGCGUGAGGGAUGAC
rnacentral:rRNA from 1 species